AUUGAACGCUGGCGGCAGGCCUAACACAUGCAAGUCGAACGGUAACAGGAAGAAGCUUGCUUCUUUGCUGACGAGUGGCGGACGGGUGAGUAAUGUCUGGGAAACUGCCUGAUGGAGGGGGAUAACUACUGGAAACGGUAGCUAAUACCGCAUAACGUCGCAAGACCAAAGAGGGGGACCUUCGGGCCUCUUGCCAUCGGAUGUGCCCAGAUGCGAUUAGCUAGUAGGUGGGGUAACGGCUCACCUAGGCGACGAUCCCUAGCUGGUCUGAGAGGAUGACCAGCCACACUGGAACUGAGACACGGUCCAGACUCCUACGGGAGGCAGCAGUGGGGAAUAUUGCACAAUGGGCGCAAGCCUGAUGCAGCCAUGCCGCGUGUAUGAAGAAGGCCUUCGGGUUGUAAAGUACUUUCAGCGGGGAGGAAGGGAGUAAAGUUAAUACCUUUGCUCAUUGACGUUACCCGCAGAAGAAGCACCGGCUAACUCCGUG
rnacentral:rRNA from 1 species